UGGGGAAUUUUGGACAAUGGGCGAAAGCCUGAUCCAGCAAUGCCGCGUGUGUGAAGAAGGCCUUCGGGUUGUAAAGCACUUUUGUCCGGAAAGAAAUCCUUGGCUCUAAUACAGUCGGGGGAUGACGGUACCGGAAGAAUAAGCACCGGCUAACUACGUGCCAGCAGCCGCGGUAAUACGUAGGGUGCAAGCGUUAAUCGGAAUUACUGGGCGUAAAGCGUGCGCAGGCGGUUUGCUAAGACCGACGUGAAAUCCCCGGGCUCAACCUGGGAACUGCAUUGGUGACUGGCAGGCUAGAGUAUGGCAGAGGGGGGUAGAAUUCCACGUGUAGCAGUGAAAUGCGUAGAGAUGUGGAGGAAUACCGAUGGCGAAGGCAGCCCCCUGGGCCAAUACUGACGCUCAUGCACGAAAGCGUGGGGAGCAAACAGGAUUAGAUACCCUGGUAGUCCACGCCCUAAACGAUGUCAACUAGUUGUUGGGGACUUCAUUUCCUUAGUAACGUAGCUAACGCGUGAAGUUGACCGCCUGGGGAGUACGGUCGCAAGAUUAAAACUCAAAGGAAUUGACGGGGUCAUAGCUGUUUCC
rnacentral:rRNA from 1 species